rnacentral:rRNA from 1 species
CUGCUGCCUCCCGUAGGAGUCUGGUCCGUGUCUCAGUACCAGUGUGGGGGACCUUCCUCUCAGAACCCCUACGCAUCGUCGCCUUGGUGGGCCGUUACCCCGCCAACCAGCUAAUGCGACGCAUGGCCAUCCGCAGCCGGUAAACCUUUGGACCCGAAGGGAUGCCCCUCCGGGUCGUUACGCGGUAUUAGACGGGGUUUCCCCCGAUUAUCCCCCUGCUGCGGGCAGGUUCCAUACGUGUUACUCACCCGUGCGCCGGUCGCCGGCGGAAGCGCGAACG